rnacentral:misc_RNA from 1 species
GAGUUGAGUUGAGUUGAGUUAUUGGUGGUAAUUGAAUAGAUUAUUGAUUUCUUUCCUUUUUGUCAAUUUCAUUAUUUUCAUGUUAGGUUGUGUUUCUUUAUUGGGAAUGGAUGUUAGGGAGUAGAAAUUAUUUUAAUUUUUUGACUUUCAUGUUUUAUUUAACCAAGGAAUAGUAAUAGAAGAGCUACAACUCAAAAAAAAAAAAAAAAG